UCGGCGCGCCGCUUCCAGGGCUCUACAAACCUGCCGGCUGCCAUGGCUGAGGUGGGCCGAGCAGGCAUCAGCGACCCAGGCGCGCUGCUCCCACGGGGCUUCUGGGCUGCGGUGGAGGUGUGGCUGGAGAGGCCGCAGGUGGCCAACAAACGGCUUUGCGGCGCCCGCCUGGAGGCCCGCUGGAGCGCUGCCCUGCCCUGCGCCGAGGCCCGCGGCCCAGGGACGAGCGCAGGCUCGGAGCAGAAGGAGCGGGGUCCGGUUCCCGGCCAGGGUUCCCCCGGAGGGGGCACGGGUCCCACGCUGCGAUCAGGACCCAAGCAGGGCAUGGCAUGUUGCGAACUUGAGGAGGCCCAGGGCCAGUGCCAGCAAGAGGAGGCACAGAGGGAAGCUGCCUUGGCGCCCCUGAGGGACUCCGGGCACCCCGGCCUUGCUGAAGGAGACGAGGGCGACUUCCCCGCCGCAGAUCUGGAUUCGCUCUGGGACGAUUUCUCCCGAAGUCUCGCCUGUGGCAAUUCGGAGAUGCUGGCCUUCCUCACCUGCCCCGGGGCGGGAUCGCAGCCAGAGGCGCAGCGUGAGCUCGACGUGGUUCUCAGAACCGUCAUCCCGAAAACUAGCCCACAUUGCCUCCUUACAGCUCCCAGGAGGGAAAUAGUCGUGCAAGAUGUCCUCAAUGGAACUGUAACAUUUUUGCCUUUGGAAGAAGACGAUGAGGGGAAGUUAAAGGUUAAGAUGAGCAAUGUAUAUCAAAUUCAGCUCAGUCAUAGCAAAGAAGAAUGGUUCAUAUCUGUUUUAAUUUUCUGUCCAGAAAGAUGGCAUUCAGAUGGAAUUGUGUAUCCCAAACCCACAUGGCUUGGAGAAGAGUUGCUGGCCAAGUUGGCCAAGUGGUCUGUAGAGAACAAGAAGAGUGACUUUAAAAGCACCCUUUCCCUCAUCUCUAUUAUGAAGUACAGCAAGGCUUACCAGGAACUUAAAGAGAAGUAUAAGGAAAUGGUUAAGGUGUGGCCUGAAGUCACUGAUCCUGAGAAGUUCGUGUAUGAAGACGUGGCUAUCGCAGCAUACCUGCUGAUUCUAUGGGAAGAAGAAAGGGCCGAGAGGGGACUAACUGCCAGGCAGUCCUUUGUGGACCUGGGAUGUGGAAAUGGCCUCCUGGUCCACAUCCUGAACAGUGAGGGGCAUCCAGGCAGAGGGAUUGAUGUCCGGAGAAGAAAAAUCUGGGAAAUGUAUGGACCACAGACACAGUUAGAGGAAGAUGCAAUCACACCCAAUGAUAAGACCCUUUUCCCUGAUGUUGAUUGGUUAAUCGGUAACCAUUCUGAUGAACUCACACCAUGGAUACCUGUCAUUGCAGCCAGGUCUUCCUACAAUUGCCGCUUCUUUGUCCUCCCCUGCUGCUUCUUUGACUUCAUUGGAAAAUACUCCCGGAGGCAGAGUAAGAAGACUCAGUACCAGGAGUACCUUGACUUCAUUAAAGAAGUGGGCUUCACCUGUGGGUUUCACGUGGACGAAGACUGCCUCAGGAUUCCUUCAACCAAAAGAGUCUGUCUGAUUGGGAAAUCCAGAACAUACCCUCCCUCCAGAGAAGCUUCCGUGGAUGAAAAGAGGACUCAGUACAUUAAGAGCAGGCAGGGCUGCCCUGUAAGCCCACCUGGACGGGAGCUUUCCCCUUCUCCACUCCGGGUUGCUGCCGGCAGUGCUGGUCACUGUGACGGUCACCAAGCUCUGGACGCCAGGGUCGGGUGUGUAGCCGGGGCCUUGGCCGCUGAGUGUGGAGCAGGGCCCCAGGCCGAAGGACCCUGGCUACCUGGAUUUCAUCCCAGAGAAAAGGCUGAGCGUGUGAGGAACUGUGCCGCCCUGCCACGAGGUUUUAUCGACCAAGUGGUUUUGCAAGUGGCGAAUUUAUUGUUAGGCGGAAAGCAAUUAAACACAGGAAGUUCUCGAAAUGGGAGUUUGAAGACCUGGAAUGGGGGAGAGAGCCUAUCUCUGGCAGAAGUAGCCAGUGAGCUGGACACGGAGACCCUGCGGAGGCUGAAGCGGGAGUGUGGGGGCCUGCAGACACUGCUCCGGAAUAGCCACCAGGUGUUCCGAGUUGUGAAUGGGAGAGUUCACAUCCGCGACUGGAGAGAGGAGACGCUGUGGGAAACAAAGCAACCGGAAGCGAAACAGAGAGUGCGCUCCGAAGCCUGCAAAACCCGCCUCUGCUGGUUCUUCACGCAUCACCCUGAUGGCUGUGCUCUGUCCGCGGACUGCUGCCCGUUUGCCCAUGGGCCUGCGGAGCUGCGGCCACCCCGGACCGCCCCGAGGAAGAAGAUUCCAUGAGCUGUGUCCUUGCCAGCCAAGGCCUGGUCUGUGGGGGCCAAACCAAGGAGAGCUUCCCCAGCAAUCCUGAGUGCUGCGGUCUCUGCUCUGGCUGCGUUUCAGCCCACCUCCUCCCAGCUUUCUCUAGAUCCUCACGCCGAUGAACCAUGUUUCAUAAACAUCACCCGCCAGAGAAGCCACAGUUACUCAGAAGCCCCCAGCUGGGUGCCUGGCUUGUUUCAGAUGCAGCCACUUGAAACGUGCACAGCAUCUUCGUAUCACAAAGAUCGUGUGUGGAUCCUUACAGUGUCUCCUGGGGGAGAGCAGCCGAGGACGCCUUGCACAGGCCCCUCCCAGGGCGCUGUCCGACGCCUGCCCCACCAUGUCCACCUCUGUGAAGAGGAUGGGGCUCCCCGAGAAGCAAGAUCGUAUCUGCCAGCGUUUCUCACCACACUGGAGAGCAGCCACUCUGGAGCAGGGAUCCACCAGAUUGGUAUUUUUAAAAAAGAAAACUGCAUUGUGGACCUCAUCGUUCUGGGAAAAGGGUGGUUCACGAGAAAGCACAGUCAUGUGUCACUUAACAGUGCAGAUGCAUCCUGAGAAAUGCGUGGUUAGGUGAUUUCAUCAUCCUGCAACAUGAGAGUGUGCCCCGCGCUCCCAGAUGAGACAGGCUGCCCCACACCCAGGCCGUGGGGGACGGCCUCUCGCUCUUGGAACACACGUCUACACAGCUCAUUAACUGUGCCGAAUGCUGUACGCAGUUGUAAUGCGAUGGUAAGUGUCUGUGUAGCUAAACGUAGAAAAGGUACAGUGAAAAUAUGAUGUAAAAGAGAAAACAUGCUUCAGCUGUGGAGGGCACUCACCCUGAAUGGGGCCUGUGGACAAGGCUGUGGGUGUCCGUGAGGGAGGGGGUGCCUCUGAGGCCCUGCUGCAGGCUGGAUGAACAGCACGCUUAGGCCACACUCAGUGUAUACUAAAAAAUCCCUUCAGUAACACAUUCACCUGAGCUUAUUUCUAACUUUUUAAUUUUAUGAACUUUAAAAACAUUUUUUACUCUUUUGUAAUAACACUUAGCUUAAAACACAUUGUACAGCUGUAUAAAA